GAAGCAGGCUUGGUCGUAUGGUUACGCUAACUGCUUUGUAAGUUGAUGAUCAUGGGUUCGAUUCCCAUCUGCUCCA
rnacentral:tRNA from 1 species